CCCUACGGGGGGCAGCAGUGAGGAAUAUUGGUCAAUGGUCGGGAGACUGAACCAGCCAAGCCGCGUGAGGGAUGAAGGUACAGAGUAUCGUAAACCUCUUUUGUCAGGGAACAAAGGCGGGGACGCGUCCCCGGAUGAGUGUACCUGAAGAAAAAGCAUCGGCUAACUCCGUGCCAGCAGCCGCGGUAAUACGGAGGAUGCGAGCGUUAUCCGGAUUUAUUGGGUUUAAAGGGGGGGCAGGCGGUCUGUUAAGUAAGCGGUCAAAGCCCGGGGCUCAACCCCGGCCCGCCGUUGAAACUGGCAGU
rnacentral:rRNA from 1 species